UGGGGAAUAUUGGACAAUGGGCGAAAGCCUGAUCCAGCCAUGCCGCGUGUGUGAAGAAGGUCUUCGGAUUGUAAAGCACUUUAAGUUGGGAGGAAGGGCAGUAAGCGAAUACCUUGCUGUUUUGACGUUACCGACAGAAUAAGCACCGGCUAACUCUGUGCCAGCAGCCGCGGUAAUACAGAGGGUGCAAGCGUUAAUCGGAAUUACUGGGCGUAAAGCGCGCGUAGGUGGUUCGUUAAGUUGAAUGUGAAAGCCCCGGGCUCAACCUGGGAACUGCAUCCAAAACUGGCGAGCUAGAGUAGGCAGAGGGUGGUGGAAUUUCCUGUGUAGCGGUGAAAUGCGUAGAUAUAGGAAGGAACACCAGUGGCGAAGGCGACCACCUGGGCUCAUACUGACACUGAGGUGCGAAAGCGUGGGGAGCAAACAGG
rnacentral:rRNA from 1 species